AACUCAAAUGGGCCAACAUACAAUACCAUCAAAAUACAUCUUGGAUUGGUGGAGGAAAGAUAUUAAGCAAAAAUAUACCUUCGUGAAAAGUAGUUAUGACACUACUAGCAUCGACGAUGCACGAAGGUACGAUAGGAUCCAAAAUUGUUUCUAUGAACUGUGUUCCAAUGCUUCAAAGGCUGAGAGCAGUUGUGUUAAAUUGAUUAGUCAAAUAUAACAGUUGAAGACACAGUACCCUGGUAUCGCUGAUCAUGAUACUAGCAACACAGUUGAUACAACUCCUUCGACGGAGGCUUCGACCCCUAGAGUUCUUAGUCAUUUGGUAGUUCGGAGUAAAGGAAGACCACCGUCUAAGAGAAAAGUGCACCCCACUGAGAUGAGUAUUAAGAAAUCCAGUACGAAAAGACGAUUGCACAACAACCAAGUUGAGGAUCAACAAAGUCAAGUUUGGACACAUGCGCCGGAAUUUUUUUCAACUCUUUCGAUUGCUCAUCACUCACAGGACAACACUACGGAGGCUUUCCAUCAGGACUUCAGGGCUUUUUGAUUGAUAGACACCAUGAGACAAAUUUGUACUUGGGAUUUUAUAUUGUAAUCUUGGGAUAUUAUUGAACCUGUUUUUGUAUUGAAGUGUUUAGAUCAUUAAUUGUAAUCUUGGGAUUGUAUUGAACCUGUUUUUGUAAUCGUCAUUUUUAUAAUAGUUUG